rnacentral:lncRNA from 1 species
UGACCGCAAGAGCAUCCAUGGAUCAAUUGGGACAGAAGUAGACUCACCAAUUAUAUUGCAAAAACACGCUGCAAAUCAUAUCGGAUAGAUCUGUGCAUUGAGAGUAGCUCGCCAUGCCCAAGGCGCAUGCCUUGUGGACACGUUUCCACAUGAGAAUGUUAUCGUGAACCCUCUACUGUUUUCAAAUUGCCCUGGAAGAGUGAAUAGACUUGGCCGCUAUCUAGUCAAGUAUCUUCCCCUUAGGCGGCAGAGAUAAACCAAUUUGUAGACGGGAC